rnacentral:rRNA from 1 species
CUCGGGAGGAAAAGAAACCAACAGGGAUUGCCUCAGUAACGGCGAGUGAAGCGGCAAAAGCUCAAAUUUGAAAUCAGCACCUUACGGUGUUUCGAGUUUGUAAUUAUGAAGAUGGUAACCUUCGGGUUCUGGCUCUUGUCUAUGUUCCUUGGAACAGGACGUCAUAGAGGGUGAGAAUCCCGUCUGAUGAGAUGCCCAUUCCUAUGUAAGGUGCUAUCGAAGAGUCGAGUUGUUUGGGAAUGCAGCUCUAAGUGGGUGGUAAAUUCCAUCUAAAGCUAAAUAUUGGCGAGAGACCGAUAGCGAACAAGUACAGUGAUGGAAAGAUGAAAAGAACUUUGAAAAGAGAGUGAAAAAGUACGUGAAAUUGUUGAAAGGGAAGGGCAUUAGAUCAGACUUGGUGUUUUACGAUUAUCUUCUCUUCUUGAGUUGUGCACUCGUAUUUCACUGGGCCAGCAUCGAUUCGGAUGGCAAGAUAAUGGCAGUUGAAUGUGGCUUCACUUCGGUGGAGUGUUAUAGCUUCUGCUGAUAUUGCCUGUCUGGAUCGAGGGCUGCGUCUUUUGACUAGGAUGCUGGCGUAAUGAUCUAAUGCCGCCCUCUGGA